rnacentral:sRNA from 1 species
GGAGAGUAUGCUACUGGUGUAGCAAGCGGUCUUGAAAACCGCUAUACGGUAUCCAUUCCGGGGGUUCGACUCCUCUACUCUCCGC